rnacentral:tRNA from 1 species
GGGGAUUUAGCUCAGGGGCGUGAGCACCUGCCUGGCAAGCAUGAGGUCGUGAGUUCAAUCCCUG